GGAUGUGAGGGCGAUCUGGCUGCGACAUCUGUCACCCCAUUGAUCGCCAGGGUUGAUUCGGCUGAUGUGGCUGGCUAGGUGGGUGUCCCCUCCCUCCCUCAACGAUCCACGUGCAUCCCUCCCAAAGCUUCACGCUCGGUUGAAGAGGACAACUACCCUCGAUAGAGGAGGACCGUUCCUCACUCAAGGGUCUACGAGUAGCUGCGCUCCCCUGCUAGAACCUCCAAACAAGCUCUCAAGGUCCAUUUGUAAGAAUUAAGACAGGACAUUUCAAAGGGAAGUAGUUCAUGCAUGACAAUUUAU
rnacentral:snRNA from 1 species